GGGGUUUUAACUCCCCAGUACGAAUGGGUAGCAUGCUUUGUACAAUUUGUAAACAACAUAAUUUCUGUAAAAUUUGACUUUUGCUAAAAUGCCAUCGCUGACUCCGCUCCAACCGAUGGGGGCCACGUCCGGAGUCUGCGGCUCAUUUGUCGCCGCGUCCUGCGGGUCUGGCUGUCCUGCCGACCCGCUGCCGUCUCUCCCCAGAGCUCUGCGCCCCCUGCCCAGGAGGAGAGGCCCGGCCCUGCACCCGCAGGCCUGGUCCGGCCACCCCCGCCCCUGGCCCGGAGCAAGCCCUACAUCUCCUGGCCCACCUCAGGCGGGGCGGAGCCCGGAGUGACCGUGCCUCUGAGGAGUAUGUCCGACCCGGACCAGGACUUCGACAAGGAGCCUGACUCAGAUUCCACCAAACACUCAACCCCCUCGAAUAGCUCCAACCCCAGUGGCCCGCCAAGCCCCAACUCGCCCCACAGGAGCCAGCUUCCCCUCGACAGCCUGGAGCAGCCCGCUGGCGACGCCUGAGGCCCCCUCACCCCGAGCAGUGCCAAGACUGAGCUGACAGUGUUGUCCGCAGAGAUGCAGUCAUCUGUAGAUACAAAACGAAUCUGUAUUAUAAUAAUGACCAGAUGGAUGGCACAUCCCAUGGCGUAGUCCAGAUCGCUCAUCUGCAUAGCUGUGAGGCGACACGUUCCGUUUGCACAUGAAGGACCACCGCACACCUCACCCGCACUGCCGGCAUGGCUCUGGGCCUCGCCUGUGCAGGACCUCAGCACCUGUCUCUCCCCUGUUCCUCGAAACCAUUCCCAAGCCCCUAGGAGAAUAACAGCAAGUUGUGUGCCCUCCCAGCAUCUCAAGACUCACGGACAGGGAGAGCGCAGGUUGGCUGUGGCAGCCGAGUUCACUUUCCCAUUGCACAGCCAGCUGCAGGUGCUGCUGCUGCUGCCUGGCUGUGGACAGAGCCCCAGGCCCAGUGGCACCACAUCCCUCGAGGGAGUCCAUGCUGGGUCACAGCAGAGCCAGCGUGUGUCAUGGAGCAGGCAGGCCACUCUGCCUGCUGGGAGAGAUGCCCAGAGUCUGGGGAGUGCACAGCAGUCAUGGGACCCCUUCCUGCCGCCCGCCCACCCCACCCCGCAUGGAGCCCAUUCCAACCGGGUGGAGACACCGGACACUUCCCCCUCAGUGGCCCGCGUGGCCGGGAUGCCCUUGUGUAUUUAAUCGCACCCUCUCGUGUCCCGUGUCGGGUCAGGUCUGUGGUCCCAUUGUAAAGGCUUGUGAUUGACUGGUGACAGACUCGGCUUGUCCCCAGCUAGCUGUUCAGGACCUGCACUUGGCUGAGUUCGACACUGAGGGCCACACCAUGGUCACGCCCAGCACCUGCUGCCCCACCCACCUUCCAGGCCUGUGUCGCCAAGGUCCCUGCUGGGGGUUCUGGUUUUUACUUUUCUAAUGUAAGUCUGAGUCUUUGUAAUUAUUGAAUUGUGAGAACAUUUUUGAACAAUUUAUCUGUCAAUAAAGCAGAAGAUGGCAGUUUUAAAGCUCUC
rnacentral:lncRNA from 1 species